GACGGAGGGUGCUAGCGUUGUUCGGAAUGACUGGGCGUAAAGGGCGCGUAGGCGGCUUUUCAAGUCGGGUGUGAAAGCCCGGGGCUCAACCCCGGAACGGCAUCCGAUACUGGGAGGCUUGAGACCGGGAGAGGAGAGUGGAAUAUCCAGUGUAGAGGUGAAAUUCGUAGAUAUUGGAUGGAACACCAGUGGCGAAAGCGGCUCUCUGGCCCGGAUCUGACGCUGAGGCGCGAAAGCGUGGGGAGCAAACAGG
rnacentral:rRNA from 1 species